rnacentral:rRNA from 1 species
GACGAACGCUGGCGGCGUGCUUAACACAUGCAAGUCGAACGGAAAGGCCCUGCUUUUGUGGGGUGCUCGAGUGGCGAACGGGUGAGUAACACGUGAGUAACCUGCCCUUGACUUUGGGAUAACUUCAGGAAACUGGGGCUAAUACCGGAUAGGAGCUCCUGCUGCAUGGUGGGGGUUGGAAAGUUUCGGCGGUUGGGGAUGGACUCGCGGCUUAUCAGCUUGUUGGUGGGGUAGUGGCUUACCAAGGCCUUGACGGGUAGCCGGCCUGAGAGGGUGACCGGCCACAUUGGGACUGAGAUACGGCGCAGACUCCUACGGGAGGCAGCAGUGGGGAAUAUUGCACAAUGGGCGGAAGCCUGAUGCAGCAACGCCGCGUGCGGGAUGACGGCCUUCGGGUUGUAAACCGCUUUCGCCUGUGACGAAGCGUGAGUGACGGUAAUGGGUAAAGAAGCACCGGCUAACUACGUG